AGAGUUUGAUCAUGGCUCAGGAUGAACGCUGGCGGCGUGCUUAACACAUGCAAGUCGAACGAACCUUCGGGUUAGUGGCGGACGGGUGAGUAACGCGUGAGAAUCUGCCCUCAGGAGGGGGAUAACGGUUGGAAACGACCGCUAAUACCCCAUAUGCCUAUUGGUGAAAUGAAUUUCGCCUGAGGAUGAGCUCGCGUCUGAUUAGCUAGUUGGUGAGGUAAUGGCUCACCAAGGCUUCGAUCAGUAGCUGGUCUGAGAGGAUGAUCAGCCACACUGGGACUGAGACACGGCCCAGACUCCUACGGGAGGCAGCAGUGGGGAAUUUUCCGCAAUGGGCGAAAGCCUGACGGAGCAACGCCGCGUGAGGGACGAAGGCCUCUGGGCUGUAAACCUCUUUUCUCAAGGAAGAAGAUAUGACGGUACUUGAGGAAUAAGCCACGGCUAAUUCCGUGCCAGCAGCCGCGGUAAUACGGGAGUGGCAAGCGUUAUCCGGAAUUAUUGGGCGUAAAGCGUCCGCAGGCGGCUUUUCAAGUCUGCUGUUAAAACGUGGAGCUUAACUCCAUCAUGGCAGUGGAAACUGAAAGGCUUGAGUAUGGUAGGGGCAGAGGGAAUUCCCGGUGUAGCGGUGAAAUGCGUAGAUAUCGGGAAGAACACCAGUGGCGAAGGCGCUCUGCUGGGCCAUUACUGACGCUCAUGGACGAAAGCCAGGGGAGCGAAAGGGAUUAGAUACCCCUGUAGUCCUGGCCGUAAACGAUGAACACUAGGUGUCGGGGGAAUCGACCCCUUCGGUGUCGUAGCUAACGCGUUAAGUGUUCCGCCUGGGGAGUACGCACGCAAGUGUGAAACUCAAAGGAAUUGACGGGGGCCCGCACAAGCGGUGGAGUAUGUGGUUUAAUUCGAUGCAACGCGAAGAACCUUACCAGGGUUUGACAUCCUGCGAACCUCUUAGAAAUUUGAGGGUGCCUUCGGGAAUGCAGUGACAGGUGGUGCAUGGCUGUCGUCAGCUCGUGUCGUGAGAUGUUGGGUUAAGUCCCGCAACGAGCGCAACCCACGUUUUUAGUUGCCAGCAUUUAGUUGGGCACUCUAGAAAGACCGCCGGUGAUAAACCGGAGGAAGGUGUGGAUGACGUCAAGUCAUCAUGCCCCUUACACCCUGGGCUACACACGUACUACAAUGCUACGGACAAAGGGCAGCAAACUCGCGAGAGCUAGCAAAUCCCAUAAACCGUGGCUCAGUUCAGAUCGUAGGCUGCAACUCGCCUACGUGAAGUAGGAAUCGCUAGUAAUCGCAGGUCAGCAUACUGCGGUGAAUACGUUCCCGGGCCUUGUACACACCGCCCGUCACACCAUGGAAGUUGGCCACGCCCGAAGCCGUUACUCCAACCCUUGUGGAGGAGGACGUCGAAGGUGGGGCUGAUGACUGGGGUGAAGUCGUAACAAGGUAACCGUA
rnacentral:rRNA from 1 species